rnacentral:rRNA from 1 species
AAUUAGCGGAUGACUUGUGGCUGGGGGUGAAAGGCCAAUCAAACCGGGAGAUAGCUGGUUCUCCCCGAAAGCUAUUUAGGUAGCGCCUCGUGAAUUCAUCUCCGGGGGUAGAGCACUGUUUCGGCAAGGGGGUCAUCCCGACUUACCAACCCGAUGCAAACUGCGAAUACCGGAGAAUGUUAUCACGGGAGACACACGGCGGGUGCUAACGUCCGUCGUGAAGAGGGAAACAACCCAGACCGCCAGCUAAGGUCCCAAAGUCAUGGUUAAGUGGGAAACGAUGUGGGAAGGCCCAGACAGCCAGGAUGUUGGCUUAGAAGCAGCCAUCAUUUAAAGAAAGCGUAAUAGCUCACUGGUCGAGUCGGCCUGCGCGGAAGAUGUAACGGGGCUAAACCAUGCACCGAAGCUGCGGCAGCGACGCUUAUGCGUUGUUGGGUAGGGGAGCGUUCUGUAAGCCUGCGAAGGUGUGCUGUGAGGCAUGCUGGAGGUAUCAGAAGUGCGAAUGCUGACAUAAGUAACGAUAAAGCGGGUGAAAAGCCCGCUCGCCGGAAGACCAAGGGUUCCUGUCCAACGUUAAUCGGGGCAGGGUGAGUCGACCCCUAAGGCGAGGCCGAAAGGCGUAGUCGAUGGGAAACAGGUUAAUAUUCCUGUACUUGGUGUUACUGCGAAGGGGGGACGGAGAAGGCUAUGUUGGCCGGGCGACGGUUGUC